GUGCCAGCCGCCGCGGUCAUACCGGCAGCCCGAGUGAUGGCCGAUCUUAUUGGGCCUAAAGCGUCCGUAGCUGGCUGCGCAAGUCCGUCGGGAAAUCCACUCGCCCAACAGGUGGGCGUCCGGCGGAAACUGUGUGGCUUGGAACCGGAAGGCUCAGAGAGUACGUCCGGGGUAGGAGUGAAAUCCCGUAAUCCCGGACGGACUACCGAUGGCGAAAGCACUCUGAGAAGACGGCUUCGACAGUGAGGGACGAAAGCUCGGGUCUCAAACCGGAUUAGAAACCCCUGUAGUCC
rnacentral:rRNA from 1 species